GUGCGUACCCCUAGACACUCCCCUUACGCUGUCCUAUAAGAUCUCUUGGGAGGCCCUAGGAGCCGUCUUUUGCGAGCCAUCCGCCAUGGCGGGUGGGUGAAAGACCCGAGCUAACAUGGGGUUAGCUCGUUAAAUUACAAUAAAGCCUCGUGCAGUUUGCAUCAAGCUCUCGAAUCUGCCUGGUGAUUGGGGUGACCGCAGUCGUGGCCUGGGACCCGGAUACUUGAGUUUUCGGGGGGGGGUCCUAACAUUUGGGGGCUCGUCUGGGAUUUGCGACCACCCCUCACCUGAGUGGAUUCGAUCUUGGAGGGGGUCUUUUCUUGAUGCUCUGAGCACGUGGCGCCACCUCAACUGUGAUCGGCAGAUGCCUGGAGGACAGACUGCUUCUCUGAGGACACCCAGGAGGUACGAACGGAGGCCAAGGACUUGGAUCCUCCUCAGUUGGCGGUGAUUUAGCCACCGCGUUCUGCCGCCCGUCUUCCCGGCGCCAUUGCCUUAUAAGCGGUGCCAGCAGAUUGGGUUGGCGUCUGUUCU
rnacentral:lncRNA from 1 species